CGCCGGCUGCUGGGGCAGGGCGGCGAAAGGUCAGUCGGCCGAGAGGAGUCCGUGGAGCCACCGUUUCAUAGCCUCAGGGAAAGGAUCGGGCGUGCUCACGAGCCCUCUAACCCAUGGCUUAAACACCCGCUUCCUAAGCCUGGGUUCUUAUGCCUUUGUUUGAAAAACAUGGUUCCCUGUGAAAUUUUACAUGUAGAAGAAAGCUUCACACUACGAGAGCUCUCAGGAUAUAAUUAUUUCAGACAGAUACUGGGAACAUAAGAUGGCUUAUCAAUCUAAGAUGGCCUUCCUGUCCUUCGGAUUGAACUGAAACCAUCCCUGAUUCCAGGGAUAGGUAGAUGAUCCAGGUUUGGACAAUCAAAAUAUUGAACCACCCUGGACCUACAAGUGUUUCUGGGAUGGGAACAUGCAAACGUUGGUCCAAAUUGUUGUUCUAGGCAGCCCAGUACAUUUCUCCAAUGCCUGAUGGAAUGAUAGGGUAUGCAUAAAUGUUCAUGUGGGCUCUGGAGUAUACCAGGAACUGAAGUAAGGUACAUGGACGUCUUGAAUAUUGUAACUGAGAUGGGCAAGCCUACACCUUUGCAAAUAAAGGAGGAUUGGGAAAGAUUAAGCCUCUCAAGCACUGUGAAAAAUCACUUUCUCUUGUUGUAUUCUUGGAGCCCCUGCUAAUUCAUUAUUGAAAAAUACCUGCUGCCUGCAUUUGGCCUUAUGUUGUCAUUUACUUGGUACUUCCUAAGCGUGGCUACUCCAAUGAAGCUUUAGUAUAUGUACUGAAAGAAGAUCCUCUCAUACUGCCACAGCCAAGAGAUAAGGUUGUAAAUCUUUAUUGGGAGAAGCCGUCAAGGACAGUUCUGUGAAAUGAAAGGAUCUCUGGAUCACCACAAAGUCUGGCUCAGUGACUAUGGCUUUGCAAACACUAAACAUUCCUGUCUCAAGUCCUGUAGAUGGCUUGAAAUAGUAUACAUAAGCAUGCCUUAUAAACAUCUUCAGUCUUUAUCAACUCUUUGGAGAUUCAGCCAUUCUUUUUUGUACUUUAGGGAAUUAA
rnacentral:lncRNA from 1 species